rnacentral:rRNA from 1 species
GACGAACGCUGGCGGCGUGCCUAAUACAUGCAAGUCGAACGCUUCUUUCCUCCCGAGUGCUUGCACUCAAUUGGAAAGAGGAGUGGCGGACGGGUGAGUAACACGUGGGUAACCUACCCAUCAGAGGGGGAUAACACUUGGAAACAGGUGCUAAUACCGCAUAACAGUUUAUGCCGCAUGGCAUAAGAGUGAAAGGCGCUUUCGGGUGUCGCUGAUGGAUGGACCCGCGGUGCAUUAGCUAGUUGGUGAGGUAACGGCUCACCAAGGCCACGAUGCAUAGCCGACCUGAGAGGGUGAUCGGCCACACUGGGACUGAGACACGGCCCAGACUCCUACGGGAGGCAGCAGUAGGGAAUCUUCGGCAAUGGACGAAAGUCUGACCGAGCAACGCCGCGUGAGUGAAGAAGGUUUUCGGAUCGUAAAACUCUGUUGUUAGAGAAGAACAAGGACGUUAGUAACUGAACGUCCCCUGACGGUAACUAACCAGAAAGACACGGCUAACUACGUG